rnacentral:rRNA from 1 species
UACGUAGGGGCCGAGCGUUGUCCGGAGUUAUUGGGCGUAAAGCGCGCGCAGGCGGCUUGGCGCGCCCGACGUGAAAGCCCCCGGCUUAACCGGGGAGAGUCGUCGGGGACGGCCGGGCUUGAGGGCGGGAGAGGGUGGUGGAAUUCCCGGUGUAGUGGUGAAAUGCGUAGAGAUCGGGAGGAACACCUGUGGCGAAGGCGGCCACCUGGGCCGACCCUGACGCUAAGGCGCGAAGGCGUGGGGAGCGAACGGG